ACCUAUCCACGGCUGCAACGCCGCACGGGACAAGGAAACUUCAAAAUAACCCUGCGGCGCGACGUGACCAUUUUCAAGUAACAUACACAACUGGAAGCCCUAGCUACUUAGGUUGACACGGACGACGCGAUGAGGUCGGAGGCGACGACGUCCUCCGAAUUGAGGAGCUACCUGCUCCAGGAUCUUGCUAUUACCAGACAUAGCGAGAGCACACCAAUUUCCGAAAAAAUCCUCCCCCCGGAACCGCUCGAUGCUGAAAAAAGAAGAUCAAAUUCCAUCGUCGUUUCACGAUUUUGGCAAGUUAUAACCCAGACGGUACGAUGGUG
rnacentral:misc_RNA from 1 species